rnacentral:rRNA from 1 species
GUAACGGAGGAGCACGAAGGUUAGCUAAUCCUGGUCGGACAUCAGGAGGUUAGUGCAAUGGCAUAAGCUAGCUUGACUGCGAGCGUGACGGCGCGAGCAGGUGCGAAAGCAGGUCAUAGUGAUCCGGUGGUUCUGAAUGGAAGGGCCAUCGCUCAACGGAUAAAAGGUACUCCGGGGAUAACAGGCUGAUACCGCCCAAGAGUUCAUAUCGACGGCGGUGUUUGGCACCUCGAUGUCGGCUCAUCACAUCCUGGGGCUGAAGUAGGUCCCAAGGGUAUGGCUGUUCGCCAUUUAAAGUGGUACGCGAGCUGGGUUUAGAACGUCGUGAGACAGUUCGGUCCCUAUCUGCCGUGGGCGCUGGAGAAUUGAGGGGGGCUGCUCCUAGUACGAGAGGACCGGAGUGGACGCAUCACUGGUGUUCGGGUUGUCAUGCCAAUGGCACUGCCCGGUAGCUAAAUGCG